CACGCACAGACCAGGGCACUUUCUUCCCUACGGGCUGGGGCAAAGCAGAUGAGCAGACACCGAUGGCCUACCAUGCGCCAGGCGCCUUCCCCAUGGUUCCUGCAGCCCCGCCAGCCCCAGGAGUGGGAACCGCUGCCCGACUUGGCAGGAGGGAGAGCACGACCCUGAAGGAAACGUCCAGAACCAGGUUGAGCCACCUCCCCGCCCCCCAGGGCAACAGACUGAUUCUGAAGGUGGAGCCACCCCUGGGUCCCGACACCUCAUCCUUGGCUUUGGGUGGGCAAAGGAGAUGAUGUUUCGGGUGCCUGAUGGGGACAGUGUGCCAGGCCAGCGCCAAAUCGCCAAAGAGGAAGGUUCCAGAGUUGGCUCUUGGACAGAGGUGGGGCCAGGAAUGAUCUGGGUUUGAGUACCCCUCCCUCAGGAGACCCUGGCACUGCCACCCUCUGGCAGGCUCCUUUCCUGUCUGUUUAGCUCUUGCAGGUCUUUGGAGACUCGUGGUGGGCUUGGGGGGAAGGGGCAUAUGUUCCCCUCCUUAUGAAACAGGACCCGAGCACCUACUAUGUGCACAGACUUUGGAAUAGACCCAUGAACUAGACAGACCAGGGCCCUGCCAUCCUGCGACCUCAGUCCAGCUGAGGAGAGGCACAGAGUGGACAUUAACGGCGAGCCCUCAUUCCAGCCCAUUCUCGGACCCCAGCCCUGCUCUGGGCAGGUGCCCCCAGGGCACUCCAUCACUUUCCCGAUGGAGCCGCCUUGGGAGGGAAGCACCGUUUGGCCCGAGCAGAAUCCCCGCCCGGGCCCUGAGCUGGGGGCCGUCCUCGCCAGAGGGAUGUCCCCUGGUCUGGCUCCCGCUUCUCGGAUGAGGACACCGAGACCACACCCUUUAAAUGCCUCUGUCUCUCCCUUCUAGAACCUUCCCAGAGAGCGACAACUCAGCCCAGAAUGGGCUAGUUUGAGCCGCUGGAAAUCUCAGCUGGGAUCCUGGCGUCUGGGGAAGGGCCGGGCUCUAAAAAUAAACCACUCGCCUGAGCCUGGGAGCAGCCGGCGGGCGCCUGGUGAGAGAAAGCUGACGCCUGGCGCUCCUGGCAGAUGACAGUGGGCCUGGCCCGGCCGGAUUGUCCUCGUCAGGCAGCUGGCCCUCAGCACAGGCUGGUGGCAGGUGGCAGCCAGGAAUAUUCGACCCCGGCUCCCGGAGGCACCCACCACCACCCGCGCCACGCACAGGACACAUAUGCCCCAACCUGGGACGUGCGCCACAGAGCAAGGCUGGAGCUGCCCCCCUGGAAGGGGCUGGGGGCAGACGCCGGGGACGCCUGGAGGGACGGUCCGUGUGCCGGAUAGCGACAAGCCUCAGCACAGCCUCUAGACAGGCUCGGCUGGAGCGGGGGGCUGUGGUACGUGGCUCCAGGCACGAGGCUGCAGGAAGGAGGGCGGGGCUGGCACCGGAGGGAGGCGCUCGUGUGGUCCGUGGACAGAUGCUGAGUGGCGCCUGGGCUCAGGCUGGACACAUCCUUCCUGCGAAAACGCAAGGAGCCUUUACGCCGGGCCUCCGUGCCCCCCCCUUCGCCCUGCUUGCUACCUGCUUGGUCCCUCAGAGUCACCUCCAGGAGCUGGUGCCCUUCGACUUUCUCCCACAAUCUCCCAGAGCCCUGCUCCGGGGCUGCUGCCUGCUCACCUGCCCAGUAAACCCAUCCCACCACCCCCUGCUUCUGUGCGACUUCCUAUUCUCCUGUGUUGCCUGCGUCACCAAGACCAGCAACUGGGUCUUGUCAGCAUCAGGCUGAAACCUCCACUCAGGCUUGCUCCUGAUGCUACUGCUCCCCGGCUGCGCGGGUCUUGGUGAAACACCUGGUCCCUAAGCCUCAGUCUUCCCACCAGGCAAAUGGGGGGAGGCUGCCUUGUUGUGGGGCCGUAGAGGUUGGCAGAGCUUCUGGGUGGGAAGCGAGACAUCUUGCACGGAGAGUAAAGGCUUCUAUACCAGGAUGGCCUCUUCUGCUUUAGACGCGUGCCCUGGGGGCCAGGAUUUGUCAG
rnacentral:lncRNA from 1 species